rnacentral:tRNA from 2 species
GGGGCCUUAGCUCAGUUGGGAGAGCGCUUGCAUGGCAUGCAAGAGGUCGUGGGUUCGAAUCCCAUAGGCUCCA